rnacentral:rRNA from 1 species
CGAAAGCCUGACGGAGCAACGCCGCGUGAGGGAUGGAGGCCUUUGGGCUGUAAACCUCUUUUCUCAAGGAAGAAGAUCUGACGGUACUUGAGGAAUAAGCCACGGCUAAUUCCGUGCCAGCAGCCGCGGUAAUACGGGAGUGGCAAGCGUUAUCCGGAAUUAUUGGGCGUAAAGCGUCCGCAGGCGGCCGUUUAAGUCUGUUGUUAAAUCGUGGAGCUCAACUCCAUCACGGCAAUGGAAACUGUUCGGCUUGAGUAUGGUAGGGGCAGAGGGAAUUUCCGGUGUAGCGGUGAAAUGCGUAGAUAUCGGGAAGAACACCAGUGGCGAAAGCGCUCUGCUGGGUCAUUACUGACGCUCAUGGACGAAAGCCAGGGGAGCGAAAGGGAUUAGAUACCCCUGUAGUCCUGGCCGUAAACGAUGAACACUAGAUGUUGGGGGAAUCGACCCCCUCGGUGUCGUAGCUAACGCGUUAAGCGUUCCGCCUGGGGAGUACGCACGCAAGUGUGAAACUCAAAGGAAUUGACGGGGGCCCGCACAAGCGGUGGAGUAUGUGGUUUAAUUCGAUGCAACGCGAAGAACCUUACCAAGGCUUGACAUCCUGCGAAUCUCUAAGAAAUUAGAGAGUGCCUUCGGGAACGCAGUGACAGGUGGUGCAUGGCUGUCGUCAGCUCGUGUCGUGAGAUGUUGGGUUAAGCCCCGCAACGAGCGCAACCCACGUUUUUAGUUGCCAGCAUUCAGUUGGGCACUCUAGAAAGACUGCCGGUGACAAACCGGAGGAAGGUGUGGACGACGUCAAGUCAUCAUGCCCCUUACGCCUUGGGCUACACACGUACUACAAUGCUGCGGACAAAGAGUAGCGAUCUUGCGAAAGUUAGCUAAUCUCACAAACCGUGGCUCAGUUCAGAUCGUAGGCUGCAACUCGCCUACGUGAAGGAGGAAUCGCUAGUAAUCGCAGGUCAGCAUACUGCGGUGAAUACGUUCCCGGGCCUUGUACACACCGCCCGUCACACCAUGGAAGUUGGCCAUGCCCGAAGUCGUUACUCUAACCUUUUGGAAGAGGGCGCCGAAGGCAGGGCUAAUGACUGGGGUGAAGUCGUAACAAGGUAGCCGUAGCGGAAGCUGCGGCUGGAUCACCUCCUAA